AAUAGACUGCCCACCCCAUGGAGAGUGGCUGGAAACUGCUUUCUGGAGCUUGAGGUCUGUACCUCUAGGUCAGUCUGAACUCCCACAACAUCGCUAACGGCCGAGAGGAAGUCACGCAAGUCAUGUCUGUAGAAUUGAUGAGGGGCCUGUUCUCUCUACUGAAGCAUGGGUGACUGGAAACAAGAAUCUCCUGCCCCAUCCCACCAUGGUAAGGGUGCCAUAGAAUUAACUGAAGAAUGAGGAUGGAAGUGAAAAGAGCAUCAAGGAUAAACAGUAUUGCUGGUCCCAAGACAGCUGGAGUAACAUUGUUCUUGGACAUUGAUGGGCAUGUCUAAUUAA
rnacentral:lncRNA from 1 species